rnacentral:lncRNA from 1 species
GAUCCAGAGUACCCAGUAGGGCAAGACCUUUUGAUGGUUAACUUUGUAACUAAGGCCUGGCCUGACAUUACAAAAAAAAAUUACAAAAGACUGAUGGAUGGAAUGAGAAACCGACUGAGGAAUUACUGAGGGAAACUAAGAAGGUCUUUAUAAGGAGAGGGGAAGAGAAACGGAAACAAAAAGAAAAAAUCAUGGUUUCCACUGUGGAAGAGGUAGUCAGAAAAAUGUUAGAUCAAGAUUCCCCUUGAAGGAGACAAGGGAAAAGAGACACAGAGAAAGAAGAGAAAUGCAGAGAAAAGCUCCUAAAACUAUAAGUGGAUGUUACAAGUGUGGAAAGCCAGGGCAUUUUAAGACAGAAUGUCCUGAAUGGAAAAAAGAAGAAAAGUUAAAAGGACUUCUAACUCAAGUCUGCCUCUUGAGUUCAUGGUUACCACUUCCAGCUUGGUGACUUGGUACUGGUUAAGACUUGGAAAGAAGAUAAGCUCCACCCAAGCAGGGAUGGUCCCUAUCAAGUGCUUCUGACCACUGAGACAGCCAUGAGAACAGCUGUAUGGGGGUGGACUCACUAUACUGGAGUCAAAUGACUGGUAAAAGAGACCCCAGAAGGGAGAGAGAAA